rnacentral:lncRNA from 1 species
UUUCUCUUCUUAGGGAUACUCAAUGACAGAAAAUGAAUCAGAAGAAAGAACUUCAGAAGAGCUGGGAAGGAUAGGAGAGAAAAAUGAAGUGAACUUUAAGGCAGAAGAACAGAGGCAAUGAAGGUGUGACAAGACUAAGACUGAGAUGGAGAAAGACAGAACCAGAGUUUCGGGGCUCUUCAGGACACCACAUCCCCAUGACCCUGCAGAAGAAACUGGAAAAACACCACUUCAACCUGUGCUUGGAUACAAGAUACCGAUUACAUAAAGCAUGCAUGUUGAUGGCACGACAUCAGCGCAUUGACAGACAGUUUCUCCUAGACAACGUGCCUCCUGCACAUCAAACUGAUGACUGUCUUCUGGUCAAGAACACGUUCAGCUGGGAGUCUGACCAGUUGCAGCAUGUUACUGGCAGGAGGCACCGCUCGAGUGGGUUCCUGUGUCCAACUCACACCGCAGUGCCGGAGCACCGACCUGUACAUACUGCACGGCCACAACGCCCCUCUCCAUUCUUACUGUCAGAACUCUUCUGGUCUGCAGUUGUGUCUAUGUUCUGUAGCAAAUGA